UACACAUAUAUAAUAUUGUCCGCCCCGGAAACUAGAGACCCUCACCUUUCGAACGAGAUGACUGCUCUGGAAGCGUUGGAGGAAAUUACCAGGUUGAGUAAUAUUGACAUAGAGGAUUCUUCAGACACAACCGUGGAUUUUGAUGAGGAAGAAGAUGAGCAACUUCCUCUCAUUGACCCGAUUCAUGAGGUGAGUUGCCCCCAAGAUAGACCUUCACUUUCAAGUCUCCGCCAGACCCUGUGGAGAGAAGAGAAGAGGUUGGCGGGAAGAGGGAGGCCUCGUCUAAAGAGUGAUGGGUGAUGUCAGAAAGGUGCAGCCAAGCACAUGGGGCUUCAGGCUCUGCUGGAAGAUCCAAUUCCCUGGGUGUCAGUGGCCAGCUGUGCUUUGCCUGUGAUGACAUCAGCUCCAAUGCUUUAUUUUCUAUCAGAUAAUCUCUGCUGUAAAAGAAAUUUGCUGUACUUUAAGAAGUGGUGAGAACACCCUACAAAUUGUUUUAAAUCAUAUUUGAUGGCUGGAAAGCCUCUCAUCCAUUCAUGUUACAUUUAAUCCAGCUGGGGCUGCAGGGGACAAGAGCCAGUCUACUUUAGGGCCAUCAUAGAUUGAAAAGAGACAAAUGAGUAAAAUCACCAUUCAUAUGCACACACAAACGAGGAUGAUUUAGAGAUGGAAAAGAACCAUGCAUGUUUUUGCCGCAUUGUUGGAAAGCUUCAAAAAACCCAUGGAUGGAUGGGGAAACAUGAAAACCUCAUGUAGAAAGGAGGAGUCUAAACUGGAGACCUUUACGCUGUGAAGCAACAGAACAGCUCCAAGCAUUCAUUCUGAAAAACAGAUUUUUGUUUAGAUUUUAAUAUUGCUUAAAUGACUUCAAAACAAUUUUUUAUUGAACUUAUUUUUAUUUUUAGAUAACUUUAAAUAUGAAUAAAGUUUUUUGGAAUUAAUGUCUUUAGGUUGUAGGGUUUGUUCACGGCAAAUAGUUUUUUUUAUAAAUAUAAUCUGAUUUUGACUAAUAACUGAGAAAAAAGACACAGAAGAAUUUGUGUGUAUGUGCAUGAUUUUCCCACCAGUCUUCUUAAAAAAUAAUCCAAAAACACAAUGGCAAUAGCAAAAAAAAAUAAAAAAAAUAUUUCUGA